rnacentral:rRNA from 1 species
AUGAACGCUGGCGGCGUGCCUAAUACAUGCAAGUCGAGCGAACGGACGAGAAGCUUGCUUUUCUGAUGUUAGCGGCGGACGGGUGAGUAACACGUGGAUAACCUACCUAUAAGACUGGGAUAACUUCGGGAAACCGGAGCUAAUACCGGAUAAUAUUUUGAACCGCAUGGUUCAAAAGUGAAAGACGGUCUUGCUGUCACUUAUAGAUGGAUCCGCGCUGCAUUAGCUAGUUGGUAAGGUAACGGCUUACCAAGGCAACGAUGCAUAGCCGACCUGAGAGGGUGAUCGGCCACACUGGAACUGAGACACGGUCCAGACUCCUACGGGAGGCAGCAGUAGGGAAUCUUCCGCAAUGGGCGAAAGCCUGACGGAGCAACGCCGCGUGAGUGAUGAAGGUCUUCGGAUCGUAAAACUCUGUUAUUAGGGAAGAACAUAUGUGUAAGUAACUGUGCACAUCUUGACGGUACCUAAUCAGAAAGCCGCGGCUAACUACGUG